UGCGUAACGCGUAUGCAACCUACCUCAAUCAGGGGGAUAGCCCGAAGAAAUUCGGAUUAACACCGCAUAAAAACACAGUACAGCAUUGUACAAUGUUCAAAUAUUUAUAGGAUUGAGAUGGGCAUGCGUGUCAUUAGCUAGUUGGCGGGGUAACGGCCCACCAAGGCGACGAUGACUAGGGGAUCUGAGAGGAUGACCCCCCACACUGGUACUGAGACACGGACCAGACUCCUACGGGAGGCAGCAGUAAGGAAUAUUGGUCAAUGGAGGGAACUCUGAACCAGCCAUGCCGCGUGCAGGAAGACAGCCCUCUGGGUCGUAAACUGCUUUUAUUCGGGAAUAAACCUACUUACGUGUAAGUAGCUGAAUGUACCGAAGGAAUAAGGAUCGGCUAACUCCGU
rnacentral:rRNA from 1 species